UACGAAGGGGGCUAGCGUUAUUCGGAAUUACUGGGCGUAAAGCGCACGUAGGCGGCUUUGUAAGUAAGAGGUGAAAGCCUGGAGCUCAACUCCAGAAUUGCCUUUUAGACUGCAUCGCUUGAAUCAUGGAGAGGUGAGUGGAAUUCCGAGUGUAGAGGUGAAAUUCGUAGAUAUUCGCAAGAACACCAGUGGCGAAGGCGGCUCACUGGCCCGAUACUGACGCUGAGGUGCGAAAGCGUGGGGAGCAAACAGG
rnacentral:rRNA from 1 species